AACAACUUCGUAUUUUAUUUAAAGGUACUUCGCAAGACUUUCCUACAUCACGGAGUAGCUUGUGACUGCCUUGGACAAAAUCCAACGUGCGAGUGAGGACACCUAUGCUUAUCCUUGUGUUUAUGUCGCAUAUGAGGACGAGACAUUUUUAAUACGAAAGCUGUUGCUGUUUAUAAGUGUAAUUGAUGAUGACGAAGUACAAUGAGGAAUAAUGAAAAUUUAAAUGUUUUUAAACGGCAUUUGGUGGGGUGUAAGGAAGGGAAAUGUGAAAUGUAGUACUGUAUAAUGCUUAAUUUGUCUCUUCCGCAUUGGCAUCCAAGCUGGCAUCGCAGCGUUGAACAUUAUGUUUGCAUACAUCGUUAUUUCAUAUUUUAUCAACUCGUAAGCUCGUAGCUCAACAGUUGCUUAAGAUAUCUGUUUCUCCGUGCAUCAAAAUUGAUUUUGUGACCUAUCAGACCUGUCUUCAUAUAGGCAUAUAAACGAAAAAUUUUCUAUGGCCUGAUAUUUUAAGAAUUUCAUACUACUGAAGGUCUUAAUUACAGUCUCACUUUUGUCGAUAUAACAAAGAUAUGUGAUGAGGAGUAAUUUCAUAGGUAAAUGACAAUAAAUUAGAUUGAAAGACAC